rnacentral:tRNA from 1 species
GGGCCGGUGGUCAAGUGGUAUGUCGCUCUGCCUUGUAGGCAGAGAGGUCGGUGGUUCGAAUCCACCCUGGUCCA